GUGGGGAAUAUUGGACAAUGGGCGAAAGCCUGAUCCAGCCAUGCCGCGUGAGUGAUGAAGGCCUUAGGGUUGUAAAGCUCUUUCAGUAGGGAAGAUAAUGACGGUACCUACAGAAGAAGCCCCGGCUAACUUCGUGCCAGCAGCCGCGGUAAUACGAAGGGGGCUAGCGUUGUUCGGAUUUACUGGGCGUAAAGCGCACGUAGGCGGAUCGUUAAGUCGGGGGUGAAAUCCUGGAGCUCAACUCCAGAACUGCCUUCGAUACUGGCGAUCUUGAGUCCGGAAGAGGUGAGUGGAACUCCUAGUGUAGAGGUGGAAUUCGUAGAUAUUAGGAAGAACACCAGUGGCGAAGGCGGCUCACUGGUCCGGUACUGACGCUGAGGUGCGAAAGCGUGGGGAGCAAACAGGAUUAGAUACCCCGGUAGUCC
rnacentral:rRNA from 1 species